rnacentral:snoRNA from 13 species
AAAUGAUGAAAUCACCCCAAAUAGCUGGAAUUACUGGCAGAUUAUAGUGGUAAACCUACAGUUUUCUGAAG